rnacentral:rRNA from 1 species
UUGGAGGGCAAGUCUGGUGCCAGCAGCCGCGGUAAUUCCAGCUCCAAUAGCGUAUAUUAAAGUUGUUGCAGUUAAAAAGCUCGUAGUUGAAUUUCGGGGUUCAUCCGUUGGUCGGGCUUUUUGGUCUGUACUGGCGUGAUGGAUUCCUACCUUCUGAAUAACCAGCAUGUCAUUAAUUUGGUGCGCUGGGGAAGCAGGACUGUUACCUUGAAAAAAUUAGAGUGCUUAAAGCAGGCUAUCGCCUGAAUACAUUAGCAUGGAAUAAUGAAAUAGGACGGCAUGGUUCUAUUUUGUUGGUUUCUAGGAUCACCGUAAUGAUUAAUAGGGAUAGUUGGGGGCAUUAGUAUUCAAUUGUCAGAGGUGAAAUUCUUGGAUUUAUUGAAGACUAACUUCUGCGAAAGCAUUUGCCAAGGAUGUUUUCAUUAAUCAAGAACGAAAGUUAGGGGAUCGAAGACGAUCAGAUUCCGUCGUAGCCUUAACCAUAAACUAUGCCGACUAGGGAUCGGACGAUGUUAAUUUUUUAAUGACUCGUUCGGCGCCUUACGGGAAAC